rnacentral:rRNA from 1 species
GACGUAGGGGGCAAGCGUUGUCCGGAAUCAUUGGGCGUAAAGAGCGUGUAGGCGGCCAGAUAAGUCCGCUGUGAAAACUCGAGGCUCAACUUCGAGCUGUCGGUGGAAACUAUUUGGCUAGAGUCCGGAAGAGGAGAGUGGAAUUCCUGGUGUAGCGGUGAAAUGCGCAGAUAUCAGGAAGAACACCCGUGGCGAAGGCGGCUCUCUGGUACGGAACUGACGCUGAGACGCGAAAGCGUGGGGAGCGAACAGG